GGAUCAAGGAAUCGGUCAUGCCUCGGUAUGUACUGGUUUUAUUGGUUCUCACCUUCUAAAGAACCAUAAUGUCAUUUAUUUGGUGUUAUGGGGAAUUAGGACUGUUACCUUGAAAAAAUUAGAGUGUUUAAAGCAGGCUCACGCUUGAAUACAUUAGCAUGGAAUAACGAAAUAGGACGU
rnacentral:rRNA from 1 species